UCCCCUCCCACAGACACUCACCUGCAGUGUAUGGACUACACUAUGUACUGGUGCAUCUGUAAUGUACAUACUGGAAUGUCACCAGUUGUUCUCUCAAUCUCUCUCUUUCUUAGGUUAAUGAAAUAAUAUUUAAAUUGGUUUACAUUGGCAGUAUCUAAUAAUCAUUAUAGACACACUAAUGAAAAUUUUAAAUCCAAAUUACAUGCAUACAAGUUGAUUAAUAUUUUCAUAGAGUAAGCUGUGCACAUUCUUAGUGUUUGUGUCCCUCUAGUUGCUCUUUCCAAAAUAGCAAAAAACUAAACUUAACUAUUUAUUAGGUAAAUUAUUGAUUUGCCAAUUAAAUAAAUAAUAUAUAUUUUACACAUUUAUUUUGUAAUAAAUAAUUGUAAUGGUGUGAUUGUGUGUGUGUGUGUAUAUAUAUAUAUAUAUAUAUAUUAUAUAAGAAAUAAGGUUUAUAUAAGAAAAACUGUGAGGGACUGACAAAGUCUGCUUUUUUCUCCAUACAAAGUAAAUGGUGUCUGAAACUGUCAUUCUGCCUAUAUAUCAUCACCUUUUAUGUUCCACAGAAGACAGUUAUAGGCUGAGGAUGAUGAAUCCACAUGAGGAUCUGAUAACAAAAUUUCAAUUUUUGUAUGAACUAUCCCUUUAAGAGCACAUUUGAACUCCACUAAAACAUGAUCACAAUGAAUGCUACUUCAUUUCAUCUAUUCGCUUUCCGUAUCCGCAUCUCGUGCCUAUCACAGGCCAGUACCGGGAAUUUCCACUCGCGUGGCUCCGCCUCGUGUUUGACGCAGAAAGCGGCCUAUAGGGAAUGAGACAGCUGGGAUGCUGAUGGUGGUGCAUCGCCGCGAGCAUCACUGCGACAGCAACCGGCGCGGCACGCAGCAGCGCCGUUAAACAAACCGCUGACAAGCUUAAAGAAAACUGCGCGGAAGUCGCCAGUAUGUGUUACCUUCCAUCACAUUUAAGCAGUUUCUGUCUGUCUUCUGAUGAGGCUGAGAAUUGUUGCUGUGGUGAUGUCAUUGGUUGCCUAGCAACAGCUGUCCCUGGGCAACCCACAACCAGGGCCUCUGCGGGAACAUUUUGGAUUAUUUGGGGAUGUCGAGGUUAUCAGCGGUAUCUUGCAGCAAUCUGCCAAGGUGUUUGUGGAUGUGAGAACACCCAUGGGGGACUAGGGUGUGAGGGUGUGAGAGCCCCGGGGAGUUUCUACAGCUCUGGACACCUUUCAGUCCUACUGCUGACAUGCUCUGUCUUCAGUUACUGCCAGUAAAUGAACAAAAAAGCAAUGCUAAAGGAGAUGAUGGAAAAUCUUGUUGACACAGCAUACAGUAUUUCACCACAUCCUAACAGCUGACUAUGUUAUGUUGGCUAUGCUAAUCAAUUCUCCACAAAUUCUCUUUGUCUGUUACACUUGUAGUUUAUCAGUAACUCUAAAUCACAUAUCAUGCCAUUAUUUUGUUCCUAAGUUGUGCAAUAUGCUCUUCCUAACACAAUUAGAAAUGCUCCAACUCUGGAAUGUUUCAAGAAGUUGAUAAGACUUGUAUUUAUGUAUUAUGUAUGUAUCUAAGGUUAAUUUUUUUUACUAACUUGUUUGUUAUUUAUUUAAUUUUAAUUGUUGUUGCAUGUUUUUCUAUUUUAUACUUACUGUUGUAGCGUUUUGAGUGCAAAAAAAAGCACAUUACAAAUAAAAUGUACUAUUAUUAGCCUAUUAGAAUUAGCAUGUCUGUGCUGUUUCUACGAUUUUAGAUUGUAAGAAAGAUUGUUGGCUGACCUCAGGAUACUCGUUCUUUAUUAGUACACAAUCUGAUCACAGUUUUGAAUGAUUUUAGGCUGUAGAAAAGUGUUUACCUGUUAGUUUAAUAUGGUUAGCAUGCAACUGUAGUCAGUGUUCUCUACUGAACACCUGCGGGAAUUGCGGGUGCUCUUCUGUCUGUGAGCGCGCGCCCCCCAGUGGUCUGAUUUGA